rnacentral:rRNA from 1 species
UACGGAGGGUGCGAGCGUUGUCCGGAAUCACUGGGCGUAAAGGGCGCGUAGGCGGCAAUUCAAGUCAGCUGUGAAAUCUCCGGGCUUAACUCGGAACGGUCAAGUGAUACUGUCGGACUAGAGUACAGAAGGGGCAACUGGAAUUCUCGGUGUAGCGGUGAAAUGCGUAGAUAUCGAGAGGAACACCUGCGGCGAAGGCGGGUUGCUGGGCUGAUACUGACGCUGAGGCGCGAAAGCCCAGGGGAGCGAACGGG